rnacentral:rRNA from 1 species
GACAGAGGUGCCGAGCGUUAGGCGGAAUCACUGGGCUUAAAGCGUGUGUAGGCGGAUCGUUAAGUGUCUUGUGAAAUCCCCCGGCUCAACCGGGGAACUGCGUCUGAUACUGGGAGGCUUGAGUAUGGGAGAGGGAUGUAGAAUUCCUGGUGUAGCGGUGGAAUGCGCAGAUAUCAGGAGGAACACCGAUGGCGAAGGCAGCUCGCUAGGACGGUACUGACGCUGAGGCGCGAAAGCGUGGGGAGCGAACAGG